GCGAGCGUGGCGGAAUGGUAGACGCAGCGGACUCAAAAUCCGCCGGAGGCAACUCCAUGGGGGUUCAAGUCCCCCCGCUCGCACCA
rnacentral:tRNA from 1 species